UCUGUCAAUAAGGGCCUUUUUUUAGUGCAACAUGUUGGCAGAAUUACUCAUAAGGAACAGACAAUAGGCUGCAAUUCAUCCCAUCUUUUUCGAGAACCGAAUUCCUCAACAGUUGCGUGAAGAGUGUAUGUUUGAUAUCAUGGUAGAUUGUCAUAAUCCAAAUACUACACUAAAUUGGCAGGGCUAUAUGCAAGAAGCAGAAACAACUUUUUUAAUAUGA
rnacentral:lncRNA from 1 species